rnacentral:rRNA from 1 species
UUGAAAGGGAAACGAUUGAAGUCAGUCGUACCGGCGGGAAAUCAGCUUCUCGAGUGGGGGUUCGUGGGUGCGUUGAGCUUCGGCCUUCGUCGCUUGUGAUUCCUUUGCUUCUGGGGCGGUACUUUUCCGUGUGGUAGGUCAACAUCGGUUUUGUAUUACCAUAAAAUAGACCGGAGGAAUGUGGCUUCGAUCUUGUAUUGGAGUGUUAUAGCCUCUGGUAGAUGUGGUGGUUGGGAUCGAGGAUUGCAACGAAUACCCUUUGGGCUAUCCGCCUGACCUCUGAAAGUCGCUUGGGUACCGAAAGCUUGCUUAUGGUCAUUCAAGUUGGCGGUCAAAAGGUUAGAACGUGAUUAAAUUCGUUAAGGAUGUUGACGUA